rnacentral:rRNA from 1 species
CACGGGGGGGAGCAAGCGUUGUUCGGAAUCACUGGGCGUAAAGGGCGUGUAGGCGGUCAGGUAAGUGGGAUGUGAAAUGCCCCCGGCUCACCCGGGGACCGGCAUCCCAUACUGCUUGGCUUGAGUACGGGAGAGGAUGUGGGAAUUCCUGGUGUAGCGGUGAAAUGCGUAGAUAUCAGGAGGAACACCGGUGGCGAAGGCGCACAUCUGGCCCGAUACUGACGCUGAGGCGCGAAAGCUAGGGGAGCAAACGGG